rnacentral:rRNA from 1 species
GCCUCAGUAACGGCGAGUGAAGCGGCAAAAGCUCAAAUUUGAAAUCUGACUUCGGUCCGAAUUGUAAUUUGUAGAGGAUGCUUCGGCUUACGUCUCGGUCUAAGUUCCUUGGAACAGGACGUCACAGAGGGUGAGAAUCCCGUACGUGGCCGCGACUUCCGCCAUGUGAAGCUCCUUCGACGAGUCGAGUUGUUUGGGAAUGCAGCUCUAAAUGGGAGGUAAAUUUCUUCUAAAGCUAAAUACUGGCCAGAGACCGAUAGCGCACAAGUAGAGUGAUCGAAAGAUGAAAAGCACUUUGGAAAGAGAGUUAAAAAGUACGUGAAAUUGUUGAAAGGGAAGCGCUUGCAACCAGACUUGCCCGCGGAUGCUCAACCGGUCCUUCGGCCGGUGCACUCUUCCGCGGUCAGGCCAGCAUCAGUUCGGGCGGUUGGAUAAAGGCCUUGGGAAUGUGGCUCUUCGGAGUGUUAUAGCCCUCGGUGCAAUACAACCAGCCUGGACUGAGGUCCGCGCUUCGGCUAGGAUGCUGGCGUAAUGGUUGUAAGCGGCCCGUCUU